ACGAACGCUGGCGGCGUGCUUAACCCAUGCAAGUCGCACGGAAAGGCCCUGCUUUUGUGGGGUGCUCGAGUGGCGAACGGGUGAGUAACACGUGAGUAACCUGCCCUUGACUUUGGGAUAACUUCAGGAAACUGGGGCUAAUACCGGAUAGGAGCUCCUGCUGCAUGGUGGGGGUUGGAAAGUUUCGGCGGUUGGGGAUGGACUCGCGGCUUAUCAGCUUGUUGGUGGGGUAGUGGCUUACCAAGGCUUUGACGGGUAGCCGGCCUGAGAGGGUGACCGGCCACAUUGGGACUGAGAUACGGCCCAGACUCCUACGGGAGGCAGCAGUGGGGAAUAUUGCACAAUGGGCGGAAGCCUGAUGCAGCAACGCCGCGUGCGGGAUGACGGCCUUCGGGUUGUAAACCGCUUUCGCCUGUGACGAAGCGUGAGUGACGGUAAUGGGUACAGAAGCACCGGCUAACUACGUG
rnacentral:rRNA from 1 species